rnacentral:lncRNA from 1 species
UAUGAUGAUUAAUAUAUUUGAUAAUAUUGUCAAUUUAUUUGAUUAAAUUUUCUUAAUUUUAACGAAUGAUUAAAUUGUCUUAAUUUUAACGAAAAUAAAAAUUACAAAAAAUUCAGUCAAAACAAAAUAAAAUUGAUGGUCAUCUUAAAACCAUCUGUAGUCUCUAUAUAUUUUUAUUUGGAAUGAUUCUUAUUUCAAUCCUAAAAUAGUGGCAUGGAAUGGAAAAGUGUUUAAAAAUUACCUAUGUAUCACGGACACUUCUAUAAGCCUCGCGUGUUCGUGUCGGACACGUAUGUGUCCGAUGUGGACACUUCUCGGACGUCCGUUAAAUGUAGGGGUGGCAAUCCAGCUCGCUGUUCGUGAGCCGGCUCGUGUUCGGCUCGAAAUGAGCUCGAGAUCAAAUCGCUCGUUUAGUAAACGAGCUGAACACGAGCUGAAUUUUUCGGCUGGUUUAAUAAACGAGCCGAACACAAGCUGGGGUCAGCUCGCUCGUGUUCGGCUCGAUAACAGCUCGAAUACAUAUAUUUAAUAUUUAUAUAUCAAUAAAUAAUUAUACUAUUAAUAUACUUAUUUAUUAUUUAAUUUUUAACAAAAAAAAAAUAUAAAUGCGUGCUUAAUUAUAAAAAAGACUCAUUAUAUGUAAAGUUCAACUAUUACAUCAAAGUCUAAUGAAUAAGAUUUUAUAAAUUUACUUUUUAUAUAUAUUUAAUUAAUCUUUUUUUUUUAUUGUUGUUAGCCGGCUCGUGUUCGGUCCGUUAAUAAAUGAGUCAAACCGAGCUGAAUUUUUUCAGUCGAUACUUUAGCGAGCCAGCUCGUGUUCGGCUCGUUAAUAAACGAGCCGAACACGAGCUGGAUUUUUCGGCUCGAUACUUUAGCGAGCCAGCUCGUGUUCGGCUCGUUUACACCCCUAGUUAAAUGCCAACCCAUAGCGCAUAUAAGUAAAAAAAAUAUAGACCUAUUUUUAUUUUAUUUUUUCUAUACAUAUGUAAUUAAUGCACGAUAAUAAAUAUUUUAGUUUUUUAAUAAAUGCAUAUAAUUUUUUUUGAGAAUAUAAAUAAAUUAUAUUUGGUGGAGAUUUUUUUUUCUUAAAAUAUAUGAACUAUCAAUGAAAAUUUUACUAACUUUCAUUUGUAUGACAAAUAUAACAAUAUUUUACCAAAAUUAAUAUUUUAUAUAUAAUCAAAAUAUAUUAUUAUAUUAAUAAUAUUAUAUUUUAUUAGCGGUGUUCAUGUCGUGUCCGUGUCUUAAUUUUUUGAAAGUUGUCGAGUCACGGUAUCCGAGUCGUGUCGUGUCCCGUGUCCCGUGUCAUUGUCCGUGACGUCUAGAAAAUUACUAAUUUUAACAUGAAAAAGAAAAGUGAUCUGAUAACCAAGUGACUCUUUGAAUGACAAAUUUCUCCUUAACAAAUCAAUGGAUGAAGUAAUUCCUCUUAUUAUAGAGAAAACGAAUGGAAGCAAAACUCGUUAGAAAUAUCUAAAUAUCAAAUUUUAUGAUUUUUAAUAAUAUAUAUUUAGUGAUCGAAUGGUCUCGAAAUUAACAAAUUUUAUGACAGAUGUGAUAUAUAUGUUAGCUUAAUGUUAUAAAAUAAUUCUUAUCACAUAGAAUUUUGAGAGAAAGUUUUGAUACGUACUUCUGAUAUAAUUAAGACUCAAUUUGAGUCUUAUAUCAUCAAUUUUUUUAUUAUUUUUUAUGAUAUUUUUAUUUGCAAUUAUUUAUUUGGAAACCACUCGUUCAUCAGGUAAGUGAUUCGCGUGCUCCACUAAAGAUACGAAAUUUUGGAUCACAUUGUAAAAUAUUUUAACCACUUAGUACCUUUAUACGAUUAGCUAUUGAUUUGCUUACGUUAACUACUAAUAAGAUCCUAUAAUAAUCUUACAACUCACACGUCUCCACUUAACUUUAUUAGAUUAAUAAUAGACAUAAUUACAUAUUAAUUAUACAUAUGAUUGGUAUCUGAAGUUUAAGUUCGAAACUUAAUUGCUUUAUAUUAUUAGCUAAGUUCAUUUCUAAAGAACGAACGAAGCAGGUAGCUCAUUUAUCUUCCUCUCAGAAAACGGAAGAACGUAAUAAAAUUUGUAUAUUUUUAUAAAAAGUUGAUAAAAUAUUAUUGUUACAAAAUCUUUAUAGCUUCUUAGUAUAACGUACUAGGUACAGGAAAAACAUCACAUUUAUUUAAUCAUAAAAUUAAAGUGCCGCGUGCUAAGGUUGAUGUGACCAUUUAAUCUUAGGAAUCAUACAUGUCAUAUGUAUGUUAGGGCUAAAAUGCUCACUCCAUAUGACCCAAAAAAAAAAAAAAGAAAAAAAAGAAAGAUUCAGAUACAGAGAACAAACUAUAAUUAGACGCAUUAAGAGAUUUGUUUUUUUUUUUCUUUUGGAAAGAAAAUGAGAUCAGGGAUUUGAGUGCAUGCCAAACAAUGAAAAAUACAUGAACGAAUUAAAUUUGCUCAAGUGAUCAAUUGUUUAACGUUAUCAUUUUGCCUUUGACUUUGCUCUGAACCGUCCAUAAAUUAAUAUUUAAUAAAAAAGUUUUAAAUAUUUUGCUGUAAUAAAAAGGCUAUUAAGAUUCGGAGCAUCAAAAGGAUCUAUUAAUUUGGUACCGAAGAUUAUAAAACUAGCUAUUAGAUUACAAAGAGUUAGAACAAAAAUAUAUAGAAAUUUAUUAAAUCCUACAUUUUCUGAUGGGAUUCACUAUAAUAAAAACGGUCUAUAAUGACACUUUUAAAUGUAGGUACAUGUCAAAAAAGUGCUGCUAGCUAAAAUUACCGACACUUUUAAAAAGUGUUGCUAUAUGUGGGGUCGCUAGGUAUAUAGUGACAGUUAAAGAGUGUCGCUAUAAUCUAAAAGAGUGCUGCUAAUUUACCAAUACUUAUUUAAGCAUUUAGCAACAGCCGAAACUCUAUCUCGUUGGCUGCGGUGGCGGAGGAAGACGACAGGAAACGCUCUUCGUCUAGAAUUUCAGUGGAUUGAGUGAAGAGAGAAGAAAAGAUGGUAAUUGAAUUUUCUUUUUUUUUUUUCUUUUCUAUUUGUAAUCGGGCCAAAUGGACUGGGUGUGGUGGGUUGAAUAGAGUAAUAUUUUAUUUUUUGUUGGAUUGAGCUUUAUAUUUAGGCAUUAGUAGAUAUUUUUUUAAGUUUAAAAUAAAUGGGACACUUACUCAAAAGUGUCCCAAACAUGUGUCCCUAUAACCUAAUUCUGUUGUAGUGAUUAUAUAAAUUAGGCACGAUAACCAAGCAAGUUAUUGCCGUAUAUAAAAUAUGACAUCUUUUUGUCGUACUUAAUUUCACAUAAUUCAUA